rnacentral:lncRNA from 1 species
GGUAUGGUUAACUUUGUUGGUUUCAGUUUUUUGAGAAAAAAUAGCUGCUGGUGUUAUUGGAACAGUUAAGGUUGACUCUGACAGUCAACCGACAGGUGCUUUUAUAAAAGGUUUAAGUAUUACGCAACAUGAAAUGGUUUGUAAAAGAUUGGGUUUGGUAAACUGGUUUUUUCACAUAUGAAUGAAGGGGGCGUGUUAAAAAGUUAGAGUUAUAAUUUGUCAUUCAUAUGUGUUAAUCUUUAGUUUUAUUAGUUUGAGUUGUUGAUUGAGCAGGUAUCAUACUUAGGGGGGCCUGAAUGAAACAUUUGAGGGUUCAAAGUGUAACUCUUUAUUAUGGCGGUGCAAUUGUUGAUAUCUUUAGGGUGCUGAAUGUUGUUUAUAAAUGGCUGGACAUAUAAAGGUUACACUUUGCACACAGAUAAAGAUUUAAUCCCCAAAUCUCACUUUAUCACUUUUUCCUCAAGUAUUAGACAACUGUAGAAGAUGUAUUCCAUAAUUCAACAUCAGUCGUUCACCUUCAACGCAAAAGGCUCUCUUGGUCUGUUCAAGAUUAUAACUCUGUUCAAGUUGUGGAUCUUGUUCAGCAGUUAGUUCGAUUAUGGUUCAGUAUUUUUUUUCUGUAUCCUUUUGUUAACCAGCCGAGUAUGGUCUGGUUAUUGUUGAUCCUGUGUUGGAUCUUGUUAUUUCACAUUUCUUUCUAUGAUCAACAGAUAUUUUAUCUGUUGAUCCUGUAUUUCGUAUUUGUUGUUUUAGAUCUUACAUAAGUAAGAUCUAGGGUUUGGGGGGUGUUUUUGGUUUGGGUUAAAUAAUAAAGUUUUACGUCAU